UGGAAUGUAAGCCUGCUUCAGUCUAUGUUG
rnacentral:piRNA from 1 species